CUGCACGGGUGCUGCACGGGUGGAGCUCGGGGGCGGGACAAGACACUGGUGACCGGGUCCCUCCGUUGUUACCUCCUGCCGGGUUUGGCCAGAGCCCAGCAGCCCUGGAGUCUCUCGCUCCCUCUCACGGAGACCCUUCUGGCUGACUUCACUUAAAUCGGACUUUUAUUUAAAUUAGAUUUUUCUCUUCUAAAAGCACACUUCCCUUCCUCUCUAAACCAGAUAAAGCAGCCCGUGGAGAAAAUGCAAAACAAAGGGAGAAAAAGAGGAACCUUUCCGAGGCGCACCAACCCAGGCUCCUCUGCAGUCUCUUUUUUUGUUACAUCUCUUCUUUGCCUACUUCCUCCUUUCCUGAUGAUCAUCCUUGCAAGCUAAAUCUUGGUGAGUCUUCAUGGAAAUUCCAUUUGAUAAAUCCCUAAACGUGGAAUUGCUGUGUCAAAGAGUAAACAGUAUGCACUAACGUUUCCUGGACCCACCCCCUUCUUCAACGUGUUUACUAAAUUUAAGAAAUGAGACAUUAAGCCGAGCCUGGUGGUGCACAUGUCUAAUUUCCCCCACUCUGGGAGGCUGAAGCAGGAGGAUAUUGAGUUCAAGUCCUAGGCAGCUUAAGGACUUAGUGAGACCCUGUCUUAAAAUAAAAAAUUUUAAAACGACUUUUUUAAAGAGCUGGGAAUGUAGCUCAGUGCAAAGCCCCUAUGUCCAGUCCCCAGU
rnacentral:lncRNA from 1 species